GCAGCAGAGCUCCACAAAAGUGCGGGAAUGUCUGACAGGGAAGAAUCAGAGAAACCUUCACCAGCAGCCCGACAUUCACCUGGACGGACAGUGCACUUUUCUUACGUCUGGGCAGGGAAGGCAGGGCGCACCAUCUACCGCAGGCUAGGAUGAUCACCAACCGCCCCACCGCACCCUGCGCCAGCCCUACGGCGCCCGCGGGCUGCAAGUAGCGGCGACCCAGGAGCAUGCGCGCUGCCGCCCCUGGCCUGCCAGGACCCAGAGGGAGCGGAGCACGCGCCUUUGGGAAUCUUCGGUGCGCCAAGUCUGUUCGCCGCCGGGGUCUAUCACCCCCGCCCCUCGCCUCUGCCCGUGAGCGUGUGAGUUGUAGCGUACCCUGGGGUCUGUUCUGGAGGAGGCCUGAGAGCGGGGUUGCCUGGGGCGUGGGUCUCUCAUCCCUCUCGUCCUGGUGAAGAAGAAGAGUAUACCCAGCGGCAGCUGGCUUGGCUUUUUCAGAGGAAACAGAGACUCUCAGACAUGAAUACUGUGACACUGACCACCAGGCCAACUUAACAUCAGCAGAUAUCCUGUCUCAGAUGAAGAGUGGAGUCUCGCACUGUCGCCCCAGUUGGAGUGUAAUGGUGCGAUCUCGGCUCACUGCAAGCUCCGCCUCCCGGGUUCAUGCCAUUCUCCUGCCUCAGCCUCCUGAGUAGCUGGAACUACAGAAUGGCCUGUCCAGAAGACAGCCAAAUACAUCCUUCAAACAGACUUCACUGCAGGAGACAGAGUGGAUUCAUCCUGUAUUCUCCAUGUAGACUUCCAUCUUCAUGAGUACUCCAAGAAGAUGGUUCAGUUGACUAUUGCAAAGUCUCAGGUAUGUCUUUAUCAGCAGCAUGAAAAUGGACUAAUAGUACCAGUAGAGUGGGGCAUUGCUGAAAAGAUACCCGAAAAUGUGGAAGCAACUUUGGAACUGGGUGUUGAAAUAAUCUGGAGGGCUCAGAAGAAGAUAGGAAAAUGUAGGAAAGUUUGGAACCUCCUAGAGACUGUGAAUGGCAUUGACAAAAAUACUGAUAGUGAUAUGAACAAUAAGGUCCAGGCUGAGGUGGUCUCAGAUGGAGAUGAAGACCUUGUUGGGAACUGAAGUAAAGGUGACCCUUGUUAUGUUUUAGCAAGGAGACUGGCAGCAUUUCACCCUUGCCCUAGAGAUUUGUGGAACUUAGAGCUUGAGAGAGAUGACUUAGGGUAUCUGGUGGAAUAAAUUUCUAAGCAGCAAAGCAUUCAAAAGGUGACUUGGGUGCUGUUAAAAACAUUCUGUUUUAAAAGGGAAACAAGAGCAUAAAUGUGGAAAAUCUGCAGCCUGAUGAUGCAGUAGAAAAGAAAAACCCAUUUUUUUUAAGGAGAAAUUCAAGCUGGCUGCAGAAAUUUGCAUAAGCAGCAAGGAGCCUAAUG
rnacentral:lncRNA from 1 species